GGCCCGGUGGCAUAACUGGUAACGCGCGCGUUUGCAGUAUUGUGAAAGGUUGCAUAAUCUACAAAUGCGAGAACCUCGUUCGAUUCGAGGUCGGGCCA